GAUGAACGCUAGCGGGAGGCCUAACACAUGCAAGUCGAGGGGCAGCAUUGUAGCUUGCUACAGAUGGCGACCGGCGCACGGGUGAGUAACGCGUAUGCAACCUGCCUUACACUGAGGGAUAGCCCAUGGAAACGUGGAUUAAUACCUCAUGGUUCCUAUGAGUCGCAUGGCUCUAAGGAUAAAGAAUUUCGGUGUAAGAUGGGCAUGCGUGACAUUAGGUAGUUGGUGAGGUAACGGCUCACCAAGCCGACGAUGUCUAGGGGUUCUGAGAGGAUGAUCCCCCACACUGGUACUGAGACACGGACCAGACUCCUACGGGAGGCAGCAGUGAGGAAUAUUGGUCAAUGGGCGCAAGCCUGAACCAGCCAUCCCGCGUGUAUGAUGACGGCCUUAUGGGUUGUAAAGUACUUUUAUCUACCAAGAAAAGCAUUUACGUGUAGAUGUCUGACGGUAGUAGAUGAAUAAGCACCGGCUAACUCCG
rnacentral:rRNA from 1 species